rnacentral:misc_RNA from 1 species
UGAAAAUCAAAUAAUCAAUAAGGUUGGUGUUAAUAUGCUAUAAACUUGUGCCUAUUCCAAGUUAAUUAUGUUUGCUUUCUUCUUGUAUGAUCUUAAGCCAGUGAAUAUAGAAUACUUACCAUAAUAUUUCCUUAUUCAUUUCAAAUGGAGUACCAUCAUACCAUGGUUAUGUGAGGGAGACUGCUGCAAAUGCUAGGCAGUUAUGGGGAUAAAUCCAUGGGCUGGCUGAAGGCAGCGUGAUUUAAACUUGGCUGGUGCUUUAGGAGGCA